ACAGAUACGGACACACUUCGCACAAUGGGUGGACCACUGUUAUCCACGACGAUUAAGCAUUGCUAACGAAGAGCGAUUCUGAACGGAUUUCGGUUAUACGUGUUUUGAAAGGCCGUAAUACUUACGAUUUGAAAAUAAUACGUUUCCCACGUUUUUUCUCGGGUUUUUUCGUUCAUUAUGAAAACCUCUGGGAAAAUCAAAAAAUGACCUCCAUUAAGUACCACCCCCCCCAGAAAAAUUUCCUUUCAGAAAAUGUGCUACGCUUGAUACUUCGGAGCGAGAUUUCUGGUAGAAUGUUUGUACACGAU